GCCCGGCCGUCACUCUGCUCGCAGACUCGUAAUAUCAUUUAUUUCUCUGUGCUGUGCGGGAAAUUGAGUCUAUUUCUGUUUAAAUACUUGGGUAAUAGAGCCUGCUAUUUAGCGGAAGAUUUAUGUCGAUGGCUCUUUGUUUCAAGCGAUUGGGCAUCACUGUGUGUACGUUGUGCUGCUAAUGAAGCUGUGCGGCUGCUGCCAUUUCAGAACAGAACGAGGAGGAGAAGCCUCCAGCCUGCGAGCAACGGGACGGGAGAGCCUUGUGCUGUUAAAGCCAACCUGUGAUCUGCAGCAAUAGAAGGCAGGAGAGCUGGGCAUGGAGCAGCCUGUGCUGGAGCCGAACGUCAGCGCAGAAGCCAAAGUUUUGCUGUGUUGGAAUUUUAGAGCUCCCAUAAAUGCACUUUGUCACUGCAUUACCCAGAUUGAUUUGGUCUUAAAUGCAACUUCUCUUCCUUUUCUAAAGCUUCGUAUUAUUUAACGUUGGUCAUUAUUUGGUGCUCAGUAUUUCUUCAAUCUGGCAUUUUUAUCGUCAUAGGCAAUACAGUAACCUUUAAGAACUGAGUUCAAUACAUUCUCAUAUGCUUUAAAUUUUAUAUUUCAUUAUUGAUGAGUGUUGAUUGCUUUCCACAGAAGGAGUAAGGUCCUUGCAGCCCCAUCCCCUCAGCAGCAGGGCUAUUCCCUGUUCCUGCAUGACAGACUGUGAUGUUUGCGCUGUGCAUUUCUCUCCUGGUGAGGCAGUCCCAUGGAUAAGCAUCUGCAGGGGAACUGCUGAGUCCUGGCCUGCACCACUGAUGGAGCACCUGGGAAAGGACCCGGUCAGAUUUGUCCAUGGGGAUUAUUUGCCGGAGGGGCAUUGUGACAUGCAGGGCUGUAAUUCCUGAAAUCCUGAGAAAGAUGAUCAUUUGGAGAAGUUCAGCAUGCUGCGAGCUGUGUGUGGCAUCCUGAGUCCCUGCACAGGAGUGGCUGCCCGUCCUUCACCGUUUGUGAGAAGAGGAAACUUGGCUUUGUAUGCAGCAGAGAAACACGGCAAUGCAAACUCGCUACCUAUCUCACACGGACACAGCACACAUUCCUGAAUGAGAAUGUCCCUCUUCAAGGAGAGCUUGGAAAACCCAAACUGGCCAGGGUCUGAGUGCCUGCUGUGCUCUCCCUCCCUGGGAAGUGUUGUCUGUUGCCUUUUGAGAGCUUGAGAUGAGUAAUGAUUUCCUUUGCUUCGUCUUGACUGCAUGUAAAGCAGUGCUGAUUGCUGUCCCAUAGCUUUCUGCUGCUGCCUUCAAGCUCUGGGUUAGGCUCUCUGGCCAGAGCACAAGGAAUGGCUGGAAAUUAAUUUUCCAUGUGCUGUUGUGCAGUCAUAGAAGUCUGCCCUGCCGCUCCAGCACAGCCAGGGCAUCUGCUUUGCUCUCAUGCCCACCAGCAGAUGCUUGGCCAGCAGUUAAAACUACCAGCUGGCUCCUGCUUACCAGCCAUUGGCAGGGGGCGUUCCCACUCCCAAACAGUUUUCUUUCUCUGAUGUUUGGCCUGCUGGGCCUCAGAGAUGUGAACUGCCAUGGGACUUUGCUUGGGAGUAAGGCAUCUGUAUUUGUGCAGAGAGGAGCACAGGAAUGUCUUCAUGCAGGUUUCUGGCAGGGUUAAAGUGGAAUUCCUAAUUCCUGCAGCAGUGGAAUAACCAGGUAUGUUAUAUGAGACUGUCUUUAAAAAUGAUUCGUUUCUUGCUGAUGUCAACCCCAUUAGUUCUUACUGUGCUCCGGUGUCUUGUAAUUAGUUGCUACUUCUGCCUUGUGCUGUUCCCUGGGAAGUGUGGCACUGCUGUCCAGCAGGGCCCAUGUGGCUGCUACAAGAAUGUUUGAUAAAUCUGACAAAGUUCAAGUCCUUCUCAUUCAGGUGUUUUUAGAAGUCCAGUAGUGGGACUCUGCUGUUUGAGGAUAUGCUCCUCCUGGUUUAUGAGCCAUUUUGGUUUGGAUUGCUGGAACCCCCCGCCAUGCAGCCCUGCAGAGCAAGAGCCCAGCCACCUCUGGGGGGGGGACGUUUCCUCCCAUCAGCGUUGGGUGCUGGUGCUGCUGGUGCAGAGUUGUGCCCCGCUCCUCCAGCAGCCCACAGCUGCUUCUGGCUGCCCUGGUCUGGGGCUGUCCUUGAUGUUUGCCAUGCUGCUUCCCCCAGCCUGUGCAGCUGAGAGGGGAUUUGAGGUGCACUGAUUGGAAACAGGUUGGCUUCAGCUGCGUGGAUGCCUGUGGUGAUGUUCACGUCUGAAUAGAGGCAGGAAUUAUGCAUAAGGCAUAAUAUCAACAUGCUUGCACUGGAGAGAAAUGAGAGAACUCGCCAUGAGGAGACUCGAGUGAUCUGAUUAGUGGGGAAAUUGUUCAUUGUGCCCCUGAAGAGAGAAGAGCGCCACGAAAGAGAUGAGAACUGAGUACAGAGGGACACCUCCUGUGCACGGAGCUGCUUGGUUCCUCUCCCAUGAAGUGCUGCCAGCAGACUUCAGCAGCAGCUCUGUGCAGCUCUUCAGGGCACUAAUGGUGAAACAGCAAAAUUAAUAAGUAAUGCUGACCAGUAUAGCCGGGUUUGGUGCUGGACAUUCACUGCUGACAUCCAUCCUGCAGCCACAGAGACUUCAAGGCAAUGAUUUUCUACAGGAGAGUUUACAGUGAAGAUUUUCUGAGCACAGAAUUUGGUGUUCUGUUCCUGUUUUGUAGGGUAACCUCACAGAAAGGCAGAGCGUCAGUUCUGCUCAGGUUUGCUGUGUGCUCGGAGCUUUUCCUCAGUUCAUCAUAGAAGAAGACAUGAAGAGGAGAACACGCUGAACAAAAAUGGGUUUGGUUUUAUUAUGGUAAUAGCUUUGUUUCAACUACCUUUUAAAGCAUGGUGUGUGUGUCUGUAUCAAUUCCCGUAAUUUAUUCUUAUUCCUGAUUUCCCCCAGGCAUCGGAACAGUUUUUCUUUCUAAUGUCUCAUUGCACGAGCUGAUACUGUGAUAAUAAUCUGCAGCUUUAUAGCACCUUUGCACUGAAAUAGUCACAAAUAGCCCGCGUGAUUUAUAUCCCAUCGCUUUUCUCCAGCAGUGCUGGCUGGUUUUGGCAGCCCAGUGCAUUUCCAAUGGCCGCAGCCCAUCUCGUGCAGCAGUUCU